CCCCUAGAUGUUCUGGGCCGCACGCGCGCUACACUGAACAGUUCAACAAGUCUUAACCUUGGCCGAUAGGUCUGGGUAAUCUUUGAACGCUGUUCGUGAUUGGGAUAGACCUUUGCAAUUAUGGGUCUUCAACGAGGAAUUCCUAGUAAACGCAAGUCAUCAGCUUGCAUUGAUUACGUCCCUGCCCUUUGUACACACCGCCCGUCGCACCUACCGAUUGAAUGGUCCGGUGAAAUCUCGGGACGGCGGCUUGGUCGCUUGCGUCCGACUGCUGAAACUUGAUUAAACCAUAUCACUUAGAGGAAGGUGAAGUCGUANCA
rnacentral:rRNA from 1 species